AUUGAACGCUGGCGGCAGGCCUAACACAUGCAAGUCGAACGAGUGGCGGACGGGUGAGUAAUGUCUGGGGAACUGCCCGAUGGAGGGGGAUAACUACUGGAAACGGUAGCUAAUACCGCAUACCAUCGGAUGUGCCCAGAUGGGAUUAGCUUGUAGGUGAGGUAACGGCUCACCUAGGCGACGAUCCCUAGCUGGUCUGAGAGGAUGACCAGCCACACUGGAACUGAGACACGGCCCAGACUCCUACGGGAGGCAGCAGUGGGGAAUAUUGCACAAUGGGCGCAAGCCUGAUGCAGCCAUGCCGCGUGUAUGAAGAAGGCCUUCGGGUUGUAAAGUACUUUCAGCGGGGAGGCGUUACCGGCAGAAGAAGCACCGGCUAACUCCGUGCCAGCAGCCGCGGUAAUAC
rnacentral:rRNA from 1 species